CCUACGGGAGGCUGCAGUGAGGAAUAUUGGUCAAUGGACGAGAGCCUGAACCAGCCAAGUAGCGUGAGGGAUGACGGCCCUAUGGGUUGUAAACUUCUUUUAUAUGGGAGUAAAAUGUUCCACGUGUGGGUUUUCGUGUGUACCCUAUGAAAAAGGAUCGGCUAACUCCGUGCCAGCAGCCGCGGUAAUACGGAGGAUCCGAGCGUUAUCCGGAUUUAUUGGGUUUAAAGGGAGCGUAGGCGGAUUGUUAAGUCAGUUGUGAAAGUUGGCGGCUCAACCGUAAAAGUGCAGUUGAAACUGGUAGUCUUGAGUGCAGGAGAGGUAGGCGGAAUGCGUGGUGUAGCGGUGAAAUGCUUAGAUAUCACGAAGAACUCCGAUUGCGAAGGCAGCUUACUGGACUGCAACUGACACUGAUGCUCGAAAGUGUGGGUAUCAAACAGGAUUAGAUACCCCGGUAGUC
rnacentral:rRNA from 1 species